GGCAGAGCGGCGGAGACUUGGUCUGGGAAGGGGCGGUGUGCACAGGAGUCCCCAGCAUCCAUGGCUUUGCCUUCCGGUGGUUUCAGGCACCUGUGUCAAUGGCGGUUCCGUCUGGAGGCAGAUGACCUUCCUUCCCACCUAGUGUCAGAAGGUCAACAGUAGCCAGAUACUGCAUCACAAUGCCUGUCAUUCACCUCAUGUCUCGCUUCAUCUCAUCACUAGACCUUUUAGCAUCUCACAAGAAGGGGGCUUCUGCAUCUCAGAUCCUUCCCAGGCUCCAAUGCAGUGUCCAGCUUCAAUUUCAGCAGCCACACAAACU